CGGGUGAGUAAUACAUCGGAACGUGUCCUGUAGUGGGGGAUAGCCCGGCGAAAGCCGGAUUAAUACCGCAUACGGUCUACGGAAGAAAGCGGGGGAUCUUAGGACCUCGCGCUAUAGGGGCGGCCGAUGGCAGAUUAGCUAGUUGGUGGGGUAAAGGCCUACCAAGGCGACGAUCUGUAGCUGGUCUGAGAGGACGACCAGCCACACUGGGACUGAGAUACGGCCCAGACUCCUACGGGAGGCAGCAGUGGGGAAUUUUGGACAAUGGGGGAAACCCUGAUCCAGCAACGCCGCGUGUGUGAAGAAGGCCUUCGGGUUGUAAAGCACUUUUAUCCGGAAAGAAAACUUCCUGGUUAAUACCUGGGGAGGAUGACGGUACCGGAAGAAUAAGCACCGGCUAACUACGUGCCAGCAGCCGCGGUAAUACGUAGGGUGCGAGCGUUAAUCGGAAUUACUGGGCGUAAAGCGUGCGCAGGCGGUUCGUUAAGAUAGAUGUGAAAUCCCCGGGCUUAACCUGGGAACUGCAUUUGUGACUGGCGAGCUAGAGUAUGGCAGAGGGGGGUAGAAUUCCACGUGUAGCAGUGAAAUGCGUAGAGAUGUGGAGGAAUACCGAUGGCGAAGGCAGCCCCCUGGGCCAAUACCGACGCUCAUGCACGAAAGCGUGGGGAGCAAACAGGAUUAGAUACCCUGGUAGUCCACGCCCUAAACGAUGUCAACUAGUUGUUGGGGAUUCAUUUCCUUAGUAACGUAGCUAACGCGUGAAGUUGACCGCCUGGGGAGUACGGUCGCAAGAUUAAAACUCAAAGGAAUUGACGGGGACCCGCACAAGCGGUGGAUGAUGUGGAUUAAUUCGAUGCAACGCGAAAAACCUUACCUACCCUUGACAUGGUCAGAACUCUGCUGAAAGGUGGGGGUGCUCGAAAGAGAACCGAUACACAGGUGCUGCAUGGCUGUCGUCAGCUCGUGUCGUGAGAUGUUGGGUUAAGUCCCGCAACGAGCGCAACCCUUGUCCUUAGUUGCUACGCAAGAGCACUCUAAGGAGACUGCCGGUGACAAACCGGAGGAAGGUGGGGAUGACGUCAAGUCCUCAUGGCCUUUAUGGGUAGGGCUUCACACGUCAUACAAUGGUCGGAACAGAGGGCUGCCAACCCGUGAGGGGGAGCUAAUCCCAGAAAACCGAUCGUAGUCCGGAUCGUAGUCUGCAACUCGACUACGUGAAGCUGGAAUCGCUAGUAAUCGCGGAUCAGCAUGCCGCGGUGAAUACGUUCCCGGGUCUUGUACACACCGCCCGUCACACCAUGGGAGUGGGUUUUACCAGAAGUGGCUAGUCUAACCGCAAGGAGGACGGUCACCACGGUAGGAUUCAUGACUGGGGUGAAGUCGUAACAAGGUAGCCGUAUCGGAAGGUGCGGCUGGAUCACCUCCUUUCUCGAGCUCAACGUUUCAAAGUGAAGUGCUAAAGCGCUCACGCUUAUCGGCUGUAAGAAGACAGGCUAAGGGUCUGUAGCUCAGCUGGGAAAGCACGUGCUUUGCAAGCAGGGGAUCGUCGGUUCGAUCCCGUCAUCCUCAAUCAUCAAUGCACAGUACUCUUAAACGAAGAGUUUAAAUAAAGAGUGGUGCGUAUUGGCGAUUGAGCCAGUCAGUGAGCAGCUUAAAGCAUAGCGCUUUAAGUUGUGCUGUCGUUCUUUAACAAUCUGGAAGAAGUAGUAAAGGUCAUUUGAAAGCGCCUAGAGAUGGGCGUGAUUAAGAUGAUCAGGGUUGUGAUUGUAUCAAUGUAUGAAAAGGUGAUCGAAAGAUUGCUUUGGAAUACGGCGCAACACGGAUACUCAACCUAUAGCGGGGUGAAAGAGUUUCCACGGAUGCUGAGUUUCGGUUCGGUGUAGGUGGGAUGCUCGCAGACACACUCGUUAUAGGGUUAAGCGAACAAGUGCAUGUGGUGGAUGCCUUGGCGAUCACAGGCGAUGAAGGACGCGGUAGCCUGCGAAAAGCGACGGGGAGCUGGCAAACGAGCUUUGAUCCGUCGAUGUCCGAAUGGGGAAACCCGACCCUUCUGGGUCAUCCUGAGCUGAAUACAUAGGCUCAGUGAAGCGAACGCGGUGAACUGAAACAUCUAAGUAACCGCAGGAAAAGAAAUCAACCGAGAUUCCCAAAGUAGUGGCGAGCGAAAUGGGAUCAGCCUGUACUCUUUAGCACGACCGUUAGCCGAACACUCUGGAAAGUGUGGCCAUAGCAGGUGAUAGCCUUGUAGGCGGAAGCGGAUGUGUGGAACUAGGUGUACGACAAGUAGGGCGGGACACGUGAAAUCCUGUCUGAAGAUGGGGGGACCAUCCUCCAAGGCUAAAUACUCGUGAUCGACCGAUAGUGAACCAGUACCGUGAGGGAAAGGCGAAAAGAACCCCGGGAGGGGAGUGAAAUAGAUCCUGAAACCGCAUGCAUACAAACAGUCGGAGCCUUUGCGAAGGGGUGACGGCGUACCUUUUGUAUAAUGGGUCAGCGACUUACGUUCAGUAGCAAGCUUAACUGAUUAAGGCAGGCGUAGCGAAAGCGAGUCCGAAUAGGGCAUUCAGUUGCUGGGCGUAGACCCGAAACCAAGUGAUCUAUCCAUGGCCAGGUUGAAGGUGCGGUAACACGUACUGGAGGACCGAACUCACUAAUGUUGAAAAAUUAGGGGAU
rnacentral:rRNA from 1 species